rnacentral:lncRNA from 1 species
GCAUCCACAAAAAAGAGUUGGCUACGAGAGAUCUUAUGUGUAGUCUUAAUUAUUCUCGUAGCUAUCGUGUUAUUAAGUCUUUUCGAGUGCCACAUUGUGUUUGUUUUAAUUAUUUGCUGACUGUAGGUGGCUAUGAGCAUCAUCAUCAUCAUCAUCAUCAUUAUUCCUUUUUUCUUUUGUUGUUCUGAGGUGGGGGUGAUUGCUAUGAGC